UUGCAAAACGAGAUAUCCACCGUUUUUUUUAAUUGUUCAGAAAUCUUGUUUUUUGGUUGUGCAUUCCAAUUAAUUUCAAUUCAACUGCAGUUGGUUUGUUUUGAUUUAAACCUUCAUAACUUAAAACAUACAGCUAAGUAGCACCAUAAAACAAAAUAAUAACGUGAUAACAUAAUAAUAAACAUGUUUUGACAAAAAUGUAAAAAAUUGAUUUAUCUCGUUUUGCAACGAAACUCUUCAUAUUUAAUUCUAAAUGUUGAAUUUAACAAUACUGAUUCAAAUCUAUUGCCACAUUUUAACAUUGAUUAUCACAGGUCUCUAUAGUAAAUGGAGCAUAUUUCAAUUCCAGACCUAUCAUUUGACAUUAAUCAUCAAUAUGUGACCCUGGACCACAAAGCUAGUCAUAAAGGUCAAUUUUACAUCAUCUGAAAGCUGAAUGAAUACGCUUUCCGUGGAUUGAUAGGACAAUAUUUGUCCAAGAUCUUGGACUCACGAGAGCAUCCGUUGCCAUGGGUACAUUGCGUAGUUACUCUCGUAAAUCGCGUGAGUCCAAGAUGGUGUCAUUACCGAAAGCUAGUUUAUAAAGUUUAAAAUAUGUUUUUUUUAAAUAUCGUAUCGAUUACCCAUGGAAGACCUUUAUUAACCCCUUGGAGCCGUUUGGAUUACUUCUGUGAAGGAUUGAUGCACUUUUGUGGGCUUCAAAGUCAGAAGUUGUUCGCUGAUCACUGUUUUCUAUAAGCUUGAAAAAGCAAGGACAUUUACUAAAAUGACUCCAAAUGUGUUUGUCUGAAAGAUGAUGGACAUAUGUAUCUUGAAUUGCUUGAAGCUAACACCAACUGAGCCAGUAAACUUGCUGAAUCCAGAGAUAGUCUCAUCUCAUUCUCAUAGACGUCAGCAUCAUCCCACAGCUGCCGUGUUGCAUUUCCCUCACCCUGAUCAAGAACAUGAAGAAGAGUGAUAGGGUUCACACCACCCCACACCCAGCACCAGUGUAUGCUUGAUAACAGUUCAGUGGAUAUGAGCCAUUCAGAGCCCACCCAUCCUGCUUAUACUGAGGCCACUGCAUGCCAAAUAACAUGCCUGCACAUGUACAGUAGAAAGUACUUCAUUCUAGUGGUGGGGUUUAAAAUGUAUGAUUUAUCUUCAUAAUCAACAUGACACUGCACGUCUCCAGUCUUGUUUGAGUUAAUAUAAAACAGAAAUGUGCCAAAUGUGCAGAACAACGAAGCAGCAACGACUGUGAAAAUGCUGAUUAUUUUACAGCACCAUUAUCAAUCCACACUUCCUUUGCAUGUAAACAUGUUUGGGUGCCUACGUGAGAUUUGACUUUGAAAUAUGAGAUAAAGAAAGCAAUGAUUGA